rnacentral:tRNA from 1 species
GGCAGUGUAGCUGAGAGGUACAGCACUAGUCUAGCAUAUGUGAGGUCCUGGGUUUGAUGCCCAGUAUUGCAA